rnacentral:rRNA from 1 species
CUGGUUGGUACGGGUAACGGGGAAUUAGGGUUCGAUUCCGGAGAGGGAGCCUGAGAAACGGCUACCACAUCCAAGGAAGGCAGCAGGCGCGCAAAUUACCCAAUCCCGACACGGGGAGGUAGUGACAAUAAAUAACAACACAGGGCUCUUUCGGGUCUUGUUAUUGGAAUGAGUACGAUUUAAAUCUCCUAACGAGGAACAAUUGGAGGGCAAGUCUGGUGCCAGCAGCCGCGGUAAUUCCAGCUCCAAUAGCGUAUAUUAAAGUUGUUGCAGUUAAAAAGCUCGUAGUUGAACUUCAGGCCUGGCUGGAUGGUCCGCCUUCUGGGUGAGUACUGUCUGUGGUCGGGUCCUACCUUCUGGCGAAGCGUCAUGGCCUUAACCGGCCGUGGCGGGGAGCCAGGACUUUUACUGUGAAAAAAUUAGAGUGUUCAAAGCAGGCACGCGCUUGAAUACAUUAGCAUGGAAUAAUGGAAUAGGACAGUGGUUCUAUUUGUUGGUUUCUAGGACCGUUGUAAUGAUUAAUAGGGAUAGUUGGGGGCAUUAGUAUUCAAUUGUCAGAGGUGAAAUUCUUGGAUUUAUUGAAGACUAACUACUGCGAAAGCAUUUGCCAAGGAUGUUUUCAUUAAUCAAGAACGAAAGUUAGGGGAUCGAAGACGAUCAGAUACCGUCGUAGUCUUAACCAUAAACUAUGCCGACUAGGAAUCGGGCGAUGUUGACAAAAUGACGCGCUCGGCACCUCAUGGGAAACCAAAGUGUUUGGGUUCAAGGGCGACACGCGAAUUCGAUAUCAAGCUUCAGGUCUGCAUCGAGCCUCAG